CGUUUACUACACGAUUAAAAGCUGUAAAGAUCCCAAUAACAAUUCAAGCUACAAGUUAAUCCUAUUAUGCUAGAGGAUGUACAUGUGCAUUAAAGCUGUCUAAAGACCAAGAGUUUGUCUUACAUUGGACAUAUAACCUGUUACAUCCAAUCUGUAGGGCACUAUAUUAGGCAACCUGUAUGUAUCCUUUGGCUCAACCAAUGACUUUAGGCCAGGACUACAGUACCUGUUUGUCACUUUGGGUGGCGCAAUUACUUAUAGUGCUAUAAUAUAUAGUGUUUAACUGUUUAAAUACACACUGGAGCCCCAUCGAAUAAAUUUCCUGUUCAUCAGUGGUGUGUCUGUCUGUUCACACCGCCCUCUAGUGGCACAGUGAUGUAGUGCAAGAUUACAUGAAUGAAACUGUUGAAGGGUUUCUGUCAUCAGUACAGCUGUGAUCACCUGCGGUCUCGUACCUGCAGCCGAAUUACAGUCGAGCUGAUGAUCACUAAAGCACUUUUGCUCAUGUGAUUUUGCUUAGAUGAUGAUAAGUUUCAUCAACAUUUAAUUUUCACUGUUUUUUUCACAUGUGGUUUGAAUUGUUCUAAAUUUUAUGCUACAUUUUUAAAGUUUACACUUACUGGUAUGUCAUGAUUACAUGAUACAUAUUUGAUGUUGUGAUUGACAGGAUGAGAUGAACGAGCUCCUCCUGAACCUUCAUUUAGAGCCUCAUUUAAAUACAGAAUGAGUUCAUUUGCAUAUUGAUCAGAUGCUUCAGUGCUCUGAGAGUGUUUAUAGUGCUGUGAGUUUAACACUUCAUCACUGACACACACAACAAUCUUCAUCGACAUGACCUUCAUCAUCAUCUUCAUCUGGACUCUCACAGCGUUUGCUCAAGAGUGUAGAGGACAGAUCACCGUCACUCAGAGUCCCUCAAUGACAGCAGCUCAACCAGGACAAACUGUGAACAUCAACUGUAAAUCCAGCAGAGAUGUGUUCAGUGCUUCUUGGUCAAUAUACGCUCUCAGCUGGUACUUACAAAAACCUGGAGAAGCUCCUAAACUCCUGAUUUAUUUUGCAAACACCCUCCAGUCAGGAACUCCAUCUAGAUUCAGUGGCAGUGGAUCUAACAGUGAUUUCACUCUGACCAUCAGUGGAGUCCAGACUGAAGAUGCUGGACAUUAUUACUGUAUGAGUUACCAUUGCACAAGAGAGUAUGAUGGUACUUGUAGGAGUGAUGUAGCAUUCACACAGUGAUAAAGAGUCGUACAAAAACCUCCGUCAGUCAGAGUCACAGUGACUGAACUGAUACUGCAGCUGCUCACACACUUUCACACACUACUGACACACAGAGGACAAACACAGGAACUACACAUGUGCUCAAAACUGACUUAUGAGUGUCCACAGUCCAGCACAAAUAAAUAAAAUAAAAAUGUGAUAAUGUCCACCUCCAUCAGCAUCAUCAUCAAAAACAAGAGUAUAUAAGUGAAGUGAAUUGUGAUUUUUCUUGCUCAGUGACAAGCUGAGAAAGGAAAUGAUUUUAGGAACUAAACCUGUAAUGAGGUUAUUUAAAUGGACACAAUACCUGGCCAACAUAUAUAUGUGGGUCCCACAUGGUCUAAGCUUGGGCUACAUGGGUACCAAGUGGUCAAGGUCCUAAAAUGGGGGCCACUUGGGUCAAGUAGGUCCCACAUGGACAAAAACAGAUGGGCUCCAUAUGCGGGUCCUAAUGGGAAAUGAGUGCAUGGGCCCCAAAUGGGCAACACAAAUGGGUCAGACAUGGGCAAACACAAUCAGUCCAAUCCCAGCCAACAUGUCAUUGUGGGUCCCAUGUGGGUUUUUGAUGAGCUGUCACUUGUCACAGCUACACAUGGGCCCUGUGUAUGUCACCCUCAUGAUGGGUCCAUAGUGGCCCAUUUAGAUGUUUAAUAUAUGGGCCCACUUGGGUCUCAAAUGGCUGCUAAUAAUGGGACCACACAAAAACCUUAUCACACUGGACUCACAAAUGGCCCUAUAUUAUGUUCUUUUUUUCUCUUUCUUUUUUUUUCCUUUCUUUUUUUUUUUUUUUUUUUUUUUUU